rnacentral:lncRNA from 1 species
AAAAAAAAUAAGAUAAAAAAAAAUGCAAAAAUAGAGAAAAUUGUAAAAUUGAGAAAAUUAUGCUUUGGCAAACCAAAAUGGUAUUACAUCGAUUAAGUUGCAAAAUACCAUAAACUUUUGCAUCUUUAUUGUAUUUAUCAUGUUUAAGUGAUAGUUUUUGAUGAAAAAAAUUAAAGAAAAAAAGUUGCAGUCUCAUCACCACUUUGUUCAUUUGGUUGCCAUAGCAACCAUAAAAUGUACACUAUUAUUUUGUACAAAUUUUCACCAUGAAAGUACUUAGUUGGAAAAUGCAAGAAAAUUUUCAUUGAAUUGGCAUGUAGAUCAUAAGUCAAUGCCACAGAUACCUACAAUACAAUUUUUGGCUGUACUUUGACCUUUGACUUCAAAGUAAAAAGAUGAUUUUUGUUUACACUUUUGUGUAGGGAGCAUGAUUUGUUUGCCCUGUGACAAAAUCUUUUGAUAUUUGGCACAUGUGUGCAGCACCUCAAGAUAAUGUGUAGUGUUCCAUGGACCAUCAUCCCCAAAUUUAUCCCAACC